rnacentral:rRNA from 1 species
UUAAGCAUAUCAGUAAGCGGAGGAAAAGAAAACAACUGUGAUUCCCUUAGUAACUGCGAGUGAAGUGGGAAAAGCCCAACGUUUAAUCUUCCUGGACUGUGGACAGGACGACAUGUAACGGUAUGGAUAGGUCUACUACUAACUUAUAUUUGAUUAAAAUACUCCGGAUUGAGAUGCCAUAGAAGGUGACAGCCCUGURUGUAAUCAAAUUAGGUUAGGUAUGUAACCAAUUCCUAGAGUCGGGUUGUUUGGGAUUGCAACCUUAAGUAGGUGGUAAACUCCACCUAAGGCUAAAUAUGGACACGAAACCGAUAGCGAACAAGUACUGUGAGGGAAAGUUGAAAAGAACUCUGAAAAGAGAGUUAAAAGUACGUGAAACCGCUUACGGGGAAGCAGAAGGCAGUGUCGUGAUCUUGUAAGUCAGUUAGUAUAAUAGUAAUAUUAUAUUGAUAAGCUAUACUUGAUGCGUCAAAUCUAUUGGUAUUUAAUAUGAUUCAAUUAUUCUUUAACUAUUAUUAUUCUAAUAGUAGUGUGGCAUCAUUGACACCUAUUAACAUUUGUUUAUAGGCUCAAUGUUGCAUAGAAUAAUCCAUCAUAUAUACUAAUAUGUAUUGYAAUGAAGCGUUAGUGAUAAUAAUUUAUUAUUAUCGGUUAAUUAUAUAUAAUAUAUGUAUAUAUUGUUUAUAUUUUAAUCAUAUAUGUGUAUUUAUAUGUAUAUUAAUAGCUAAUGCUAGUAUUUGACGAGAUACCUAACUUUC